GCGAGUUUUCUUUGGUGGAGAACGGUUUUUGGAAGGAAUAUCAGGAGAGGCUCAUAUCACAGUACAGAGGACUGAACAAAACAGUCCCCUUGGGCUGGAGGUUCAACUACAUAUUACAGAAGCUGUCUGNNNNNNAACCAGGACUCCGAGCUCUUCUCCGCUUUCUGACUGGAUUAUAUGUGUGUCUUAAUAGGGGGGAUGUGGAUUUGAAGGCUCAGCAGCGAUCUACAGAAGCAGCAGGACGUUCAUUAGUCUCUAUUCUUGUAGAUCAUAUAUUUUUAUGCAUUAAGGAUGCAGAGUUCCAGCUUGACCUCUUGAUGCAGUCACUUCUCUUUUCUCGGGCAACAGUUUCUGAUGGAGAAAUUGCUAAUAACUUGACUAAAGUUAUGAUUGGUGGACUGUUCUUAAGGGACACCUUUUCACGCCCUCCAUGUACUU
rnacentral:misc_RNA from 1 species